GGUUAAGCGACUAAGCGUACACGGUGGAUGCCCUGGCAGUCAGAGGCGAUGAAGGACGUGCUAAUCUGCGAAAAGCGUCGGUAAGGUGAUAUGAACCGUUACAGCCGGCGAUGUCCGAAUGGGGAAACCCAGUGUGAUUCGUCACACUAUCGUUAACUGAAUACAUAGGUUAACGAGGCGAACCGGGGGAACUGAAACAUCUAAGUACCCCGAGGAAAAGAAAUCAACCGAGAUUCCCCCAGUAGCGGCGAGCGAACGGGGAGCAGCCCAGAGUCUGAAUCAGCUUGUGUGUUAGUGGAACGGUCUGGAAAGUCCGACGGUACAGGGUGAUAGUCCCGUACACCAAAAUGCACAGGCUGUGAACUCGAAGAGUAGGGCGGGACACGUGGUAUCCUGUCUGAAUAUGGGGGGACCAUCCUCCAAGGCUAAAUACUCCUGACUGACCGAUAGUGAACCAGUACCGUGAGGGAAAGGCGAAAAGAACCCCGGCGAGGGGAGUGAAAAAGAACCUGAAACCGUGUACGUACAAGCAGUGGGAGCACCUUCGGGUGUGACUGCGUACCUUUUGUAUAAUGGGUCAGCGACUUAUAUUCUGUAGCAAGGUUAACCGUAUAGGGGAGCCGCAGGGAAACCGAGUCUUAACUGGGCGUUAAGUUGCAGGGUAUAGACCCGAAACCCGGUGAUCUAGCCAUGGGCAGGUUGAAGGUUGGGUAACACUAACUGGAGGACCGAACCGACUAAUGUUGAAAAAUUAGCGGAUGACUUGUGGCUGGGGGUGAAAGGCCAAUCAAACCGGGAGAUAGCUGGUUCUCCCCGAAAGCUAUUUAGGUAGCGCCUCGUGAAUUCAUCUUCGGGGGUAGAGCACUGUUUCGGCUAGGGGGUCAUCCCGACUUACCAACCCGAUGCAAACUACGAAUACCGAAGAAUGUUAUCACGGGAGACACACGGCGGGUGCUAACGUCCGUCGUGAAGAGGGAAACAACCCAGACCGCCAGCUAAGGUCCCAAAGUCAUGGUUAAGUGGGAAACGAUGUGGGAAGGCACAGACAGCCAGGAUGUUGGCUUAGAAGCAGCCAUCAUUUAAAGAAAGCGUAAUAGCUCACUGGUCGAGUCGGCCUGCGCGGAAGAUGUAACGGGGCUAAACCAUGCACCGAAGCUGCGGCAGCGACACUAUGUGUUGUUGGGUAGGGGAGCGUUCUGUAAGCCUGCGAAGGUGACCUGUGAGGGUUGCUGGAGGUAUCAGAAGUGCGAAUGCUGACAUAAGUAACGAUAAAGCGGGUGAAAAGCCCGCUCGCCGGAAGACCAAGGGUUCCUGUCCAACGUUAAUCGGGGCAGGGUGAGUCGACCCCUAAGGCGAGGCCGAAAGGCGUAGUCGAUGGGAAACAGGUUAAUAUUCCUGUACUUGGUGUUACUGCGAAGGGGGGACGGAGAAGGCUAUGUUAGCCGGGCGACGGUUGUCCCGGUUUAAGCAUGUAGGCUGGUUAUCCAGGCAAAUCCGGAUAAUCAAGGCUGAGGUGUGAUGACGAGGCACUACGGUGCUGAAGUAACAAAUGCCCUGCUUCCAGGAAAAGCCUCUAAGCAUCAGGUAACAUCAAAUCGUACCCCAAACCGACACAGGUGGUCAGGUAGAGAAUACCAAGGCGCUUGAGAGAACUCGGGUGAAGGAACUAGGCAAAAUGGUGCCGUAACUUCGGGAGAAGGCACGCUGGUGUGUAGGUGAAGUCCCUGCGGAUGGAGCUGAGACCAGUCGAAGAUACCAGCUGGCUGCAACUGUUUAUUAAAAACACAGCACUGUGCAAACACGAAAGUGGACGUAUACGGUGUGACGCCUGCCCGGUGCCGGAAGGUUAAUUGAUGGGGUUAUCCGUAAGGAGAAGCUCUUGAUCGAAGCCCCGGUAAACGGCGGCCGUAACUAUAACGGUCCUAAGGUAGCGAAAUUCCUUGUCGGGUAAGUUCCGACCUGCACGAAUGGCGUAAUGAUGGCCAGGCUGUCUCCACCCGAGACUCAGUGAAAUUGAACUCGCUGUGAAGAUGCAGUGUACCCGCGGCAAGACGGAAAGACCCCGUGAACCUUUACUAUAGCUUGACACUGAACAUUGAGCCUUGAUGUGUAGGAUAGGUGGGAGGCUUUGAAGCGUGGACGCCAGUCUGCGUGGAGCCAACCUUGAAAUACCACCCUUUAAUGUUUGAUGUUCUAACGUUGGCCCCUGACCGGGGUUGCGGACAGUGUCUGGUGGGUAGUUUGACUGGGGCGGUCUCCUCCCAAAGCGUAACGGAGGAGCACGAAGGUUAGCUAAUCCUGGUCGGACAUCAGGAGGUUAGUGCAAUGGCAUAAGCUAGCUUGACUGCGAGCGUGACGGCGCGAGCAGGUGCGAAAGCAGGUCAUAGUGAUCCGGUGGUUCUGAAUGGAAGGGCCAUCGCUCAACGGAUAAAAGGUACUCCGGGGAUAACAGGCUGAUACCGCCCAAGAGUUCAUAUCGACGGCGGUGUUUGGCACCUCGAUGUCGGCUCAUCACAUCCUGGGGCUGAAGUAGGUCCCAAGGGUAUGGCUGUUCGCCAUUUAAAGUGGUACGCGAGCUGGGUUUAGAACGUCGUGAGACAGUUCGGUCCCUAUCUGCCGUGGGCGCUGGAGAAUUGAGGGGGGCUGCUCCUAGUACGAGAGGACCGGAGUGGACGCAUCACUGGUGUUCGGGUUGUCAUGCCAAUGGCACUGCCCGGUAGCUAAAUGCGGAAGAGAUAAGUGCUGAAAGCAUCUAAGCACGAAACUUGCCCCGAGAUGAGUUCUCCCUGAGACUUUAAGUCUCCUGAAGGAACGUUGAAGACGACGACGUUGAUAGGCCGGGUGUGUAAGCGCAGCGAUGCGUUGAGCUAACCGGUACUAAUGAACCGUGAGGCUUAACCUU
rnacentral:rRNA from 1 species